GCCCGGGUGGCUCAGUCGGUUGAGCAUCCAACUUCAGCUGAGGACAUGAUCUCCCGGUUCGUGGGUUCGAGCCCCGCGUCGGGCU
rnacentral:tRNA from 1 species